rnacentral:rRNA from 1 species
GCGAACGCUGGCGGCGUGCCUAAUACAUGCAAGUUGAGCGAUGAAGAUUGGUGCUUGCACCAAUUUGAAGAGCAGCGAACGGGCGAGUAACGCGUGGGGAAUCUGCCUUUGAGCGGGGGACAACAUUUGGAAACGAAUGCUAAUACCGCAUAACAACUUUAAACAUAAGUUUUAAGUUUGAAAGAUGCAAUUGCAUCACUCAAAGAUGAUCCCGCGUUGUAUUAGCUAGUUGGUGAGGUAAAGGCUCACCAAGGCGAUGAUACAUAGCCGACCUGAGAGGGUGAUCGGCCACAUUGGGACUGAGACACGGCCCAAACUCCUACGGGAGGCAGCAGUAGGGAAUCUUCGGCAAUGGACGAAAGUCUGACCGAGCAACGCCGCGUGAGUGAAGAAGGUUUUCGGAUCGUAAAACUCUGUUGGUAGAGAAGAACGUUGGUGAGAGUGGAAAGCUCAUCAAGUGACGGUAACUACCCAGAAAGGGACGGCUAACUACGUG